AAAAAAUCCCUUUAGCCAACCACAUCAAACGAGAAAAGAAAGAAAACGUUUCUAGUGUUUCUUAGCGCCGAUACCGUGUUUCACUUCGUCAUCGGCACAAAUUUUUGAGCUUCCACAAUAAACUCCAGAUUGAUUGAAGGAACCCAUACGGAUUGCUCGAGGUGACGAGUUUGGUAUUUUGCACGAGCACUAGACAGCAGUUGACGUGAGUGAGGAUUUCGUUAAUUGGAGUAUACGAGUUAAUAGUUCCUGGUGAGCCCCGCACUUGUUCGCGUGG